rnacentral:rRNA from 1 species
GUAGGGAAUAUUGGACAAUGGGUGAGAGCCUGAUCCAGCCAUGCCGCGUGCAGGAAGAAGGCCUUCUGGGUUGUAAACUGCUUUUAUCUGGGGAUAAAAAGGCCUUGCGAGGCAAACUGAAGGUACCAGAUGAAUAAGCCACGGCUAACUACGUGCCAGCAGCCGCGGUAAUACGUAGGUGGCAAGCGUUGUCCGGAUUUAUUGGGUUUAAAGGGUGCGUAGGCGGUUCUAUAAGUCAGUGGUGAAAUACGGCAGCUUAACUGUCGAGGUGCCAUUGAUACUGUAGGACUUGAGUACAGACGAGGUAGGCGGAAUUGACGGUGUAGCGGUGAAAUGCUUAGAUAUCGUCAAGAACACCGAUAGCGAAGGCAGCUUACUAGACUGUAACUGACGCUGAGGCACGAAAGUGUGGGGAUCAAACAGGAUUAGAAACCCUUGUAGUCC